CUACAUUGCUAUACAAGUUGAGAAAACGUAUUUGCUUAAUUUAACACUUCACGGGCAACCAGACUUUCGAAGAAUGUCAAUGACAAGAUCUGACAAUCAAGUCUUCGAAAAUUAGUGCGACCAAACGAAACUCGAGCUCUAAACAACAUGGGCUACGUAAGUUUUAGGCGUAAGUUUUAGGCAUGAACAAGGCUUAAUACUUACAUAGAGCGACCACAGACCAGCCGAGGCUGCAACCUCGCCAGACAGCUUACUGGCUGAAAUUGCGCCACAUAUCACGGCAAGAAUUGCAAAACCGAGCAUGAUAGAGCCUGUUACUAUCGACCCAACUGCUGUACUUCUAGACAUCACCAUCUUGACAAAUUCUGCUUAACUUUUACGCUGGAUUUGCUCGAGAAAACGUUUCAAAAUGGACAAGCGUGGUUUCCUGCUUCAAAAGCACUCUUUUGUUUCGUGAAAACGAAACUGCAUUCCUGCAAUAAUUAUUCAACUACGCAGCUCAAGCAGGUACUCGAAUUUCAAGGAGAUGACACCAAAU